rnacentral:rRNA from 1 species
CUACGGGCGGCUGCAGUGGGGAAUAUUGCACAAUGGGCGCAAGCCUGAUGCAGCCAUGCCGCGUGUAUGAAGAAGGCCUUCGGGUUGUAAAGUACUUUCAGCGGGGAGGAAGGGAGUAAAGUUAAUACCUUUGCUCAUUGACGUUACCCGCAGAAGAAGCACCGGCUAACUCCGUGCCAGCAGCCGCGGUAAUACGGAGGGUGCAAGCGUUAAUCGGAAUUACUGGGCGUAAAGCGCACGCAGGCGGGUUGUUAAGUCGGAUGUGAAAUCCCCGGGCUCAACCUGGGAACGGCAUCUGAUACUGGCAAGCUUGAGUCUCGUAGAGGGGGGUAGAAUUCCAGGUGUAGCGGUGAAAUGCGUAGAGAUCUGGAGGAAUACCGGUGGCGAAGGCGGCCCCCUGGACGAAGACUGACGCUCAGGUGCGAAAGCGUGGGGAGCAAACAGGAUUAGAUACCCUCGUAGUC